CAUUCAUUUUAUACCAAUUUGACGAUCACUUCACUUUGGCAGGUCACACUGACGUUGUCAUAUUCAUGUGCUCGCAAGUGCUGAUAUAUUUACAUGAACUCAAAGAUGUGUAUUAAAUAUUAUUAUAGUCAAUUGUAAGUUGGAACAUAUGCAUCAAUUCUAAGUCAUUAUACAUAUGAGAAGUGAGUACCGAGUACGGAAUAUAACUUCAGGCCAGAGUGCCGCUCAAAGGUCACACAGUGCGCAGUUCAGACGGCUGACAGCGUCCCCUUGCAUGCAUGACGAAGUUUACAUCUAUUUCCCGAGUUGAUAAUUGAAACAAAAUUAUUCAAACCGUACCAGGUAACGUAUACAAGAACAAUCUUAAUCUAUUAUUUGCGUGAAUACUAAAUACCCAUAGAUCUAGAAAUAUAGAAUAUACAUUUGUAUUUCCAUUUUGCAGCUUCUUGUGAUGACAACUGUUGCCGCUUGACUGCAAGGUGCUAUCGCUCACAGCGGAAAAACGAAUCCCCACAUGAUAUUCAGAUUAUGCUCCACUCUGAGCCGGUGAGUGUCAGCUGUGCUAGCUGCUCAUGUGCAAUUGGCCUGAGUCAGUGCUGUGGACACAUCACUGGGACUUUGUAUCUUGUGGCUCAUUACAAGCUGUGUGGAGUGAGGUCUAUCCCCCAAGAUGUUGCCAAGACAUCAUUGCCACAGACAUGGCACAUACCAAGGGGAGACAAGAUUCGUGGAAUGUCAGUUCAGGAGGUAGAAGUUGUUGGCUACAAGAGAGACAGUGAUGAGCAGCAUAAACCUGUGAAAUCUACCCUGUACAACCCAAUCCGUUCACCACUUCCUCCAUUUGAGCUUUUGUUUGACAAGCUGACUGUGUCUCAUCCUGACUCAUCUCUGCUCACCACUGUACUGGUGAAUCCUAUCCACCUCUUGUGAAUACAAGGUUUGGCUUGUUUCACAAGGGCAGCUCAAUCAGUCAUCAAAAGAAACUUUCACCAUCAUAUUUGUUGAAUAUAGUUGAUGCCUUUUUCCAAGACCUUCCUGUCAACAGUGACAAUACUGGGGACAAUCACUACAGCCAUGUCACUAAUGAGUCUUAAACUACCCUGCUUGACUCACUCUUGAUCAGCAAGGAGGAGGCUGUGGAGAUAGAGAAGGCUACCAGGCUGCAGGCUGCAGAUAAGAAGUGGAAGAGAUUGAGGACCCACAGAGUAACUGCAUCCAAAGUUGGAGAAAUAUCAAAGCGAAAAAAAGAUCCUGAAAACUAUGCCCAAAAGCUGAGGACCUCGACGAGAAAUGUCAUGACUGAGGCAUGAGGGAAGGCCUUGCUAAUGAGCCAGUUGCUGUUGCAGCUUACAGCAGAGUGAAGGAUGAUAAGAUAAAUAUUUAUCCGUCUGGUAUUGUCAUCAACCCCAAGUGUUCCUGGAUGGCUGCCUCACCAGACAGGAAGGUGCUUGACCCAAGCACCAUUCCACCAUUUGGCCUCCUGGAAAUCAAGUGCCCUGACCUUAGUAACAAGGACAUCCAAGAUCUACAGUACCUGACCAUGGUCAAUGGUAACCUUUGCUUAAAGAAAAAUGACAACUACUAUCACCAAAUACAGAUGCAGCUAGCCAUGUCUGGCCUGGUGUGGUGUGAUUUUUUUGUAUGGUCAACAAAAGCCACUCAUUUAGAGAGAAUAUACUUCUGCAGAGAUAGCUGGCAGCAAACUAAAGACAAAGCUGAUAAGUUCUACUUUGAUUAUAUCCUAUGCUAAAAUUAUCUUGUAAAAAUAUGUCAUUAUCUCCGUCCAUCAGGUACUAGUAACUACAGAAUAAGAAAUCAGAAACUUAUUAAGUGUGAUAGGUAUUUUUUAAUACUGGCCACUAGACAACGAUUUGUCACUUGUUUUACAAGUAUUUGACAUCACAGCUUGAAAAACAAUUGUAAUGACCAUUCAUAAUGUCAUGUAACAUCGUUAACUAGGGAUGGCUAAAAAAGAUUGAUAAUCAAAACUAUUGUUGAUGUGAACAAUUUGUAACGAUUAUUGAUAUGAAAAUUGUGUCAUCGAUAAUAUCUUAUAUAAUCUAUUGUUAUGAGUAAAGUUUUAAUUUACAGAAGCAGACUUGUUAUGUCCAUUGCCAAAGACGGAAAGCAACUAAUUUUGUUAUAUCUGACAUGUCCACAAAGUAAUGCAUAAAUGUGUCACCACUCAACAGUGAAAUGAAAUAUGUUGUUUUGUCUCUUGAGCUUUUAGCAUACUUGCUAAAAGUUACUUCUCCAAUAUUUAUCGAUAAUUGAUCGAUAUUUAGUUAAUGAUUAUCAAUCACUCAGAUCAAUAUCUAUAGCAAGCCCUAUUAUUAAUAUAUCAACAAGAAUAUUUAAUAAAUAACACAGCUUGUCUUUGCAACCAGUUUUCAACAAGAAUGAAUUUUCAAUGAGUAAAAGCUGCACUACAUGUAUGUACAAAAAUAAACACUUAUAUAAGUGUUGUGAAUCACUUCCAUUCAUCCAUUCCACAUGUAUCAUAUUUCUGGAGCACUGUUUUAGAGUUGAAUUUUCUUUUUGAUAUCCAAUUGAAUAUCAAGUUUAACUUCAGAUGUCAACUUUUACAGACAUUAGUUAUUAAUAUCAACAUGACAAAAAUGCACUUCUCUACAACAUAUAUGUUUGGGGUGCAAAACUAAAUAACUAUCGGUGAUUAUCAUUAAAUGGUCAUUUGCAAUCUGUAUGCGAGUGAGUGAGUUAAAAUUUAAUGUCACAUCAGCAUUAUUUCAGCUAUAUAGCUAUGAGACCAAGUUGAUAUGUACACAGUUUGUUCAUGAAUACAAAGUUACAUUCAAAAACAAUUUAUGGAACAUAUUUGGGAAUAACAAUCUCAUGUAAACAGUUUUAAAACACAGGCUAUAGGCCACCUUGCUGGGGAUCAUGGGGACUUACAGUGCCUCGGCUUCCU